rnacentral:rRNA from 1 species
UGAGGAAUUUUGCGCAAUGGGCGAAAGCCUGACGCAGCGACGCCGCGUGAGCGAUGAAGGCCUUCGGGUCGUAAAGCUCUGUCAGGGGGAAAGAUGAUGACGGUACCCCCAGAGGAAGCCUCGGCUAACUACGUGCCAGCAGCCGCGGUAAGACGUAGGGGGCGAGCGUUGUCCGGAAUUACUGGGCGUAAAGCGCUUGUAGGCGGGAGCGUAAGUCGAAGAAUAAAUCUGCCGGCUUAACUGGCAGGCUGUCUUCGAUACUGCGUUUCUUGAGGACAAGAGAGGGAAGUGGAAUUCCCGGUGUAGCGGUGAAAUGCGUAGAGAUCGGGAGGAACACCAGUGGCGAAGGCGACUUCCUGGCUUGAUCCUGACGCUGAGGAGCGAAAGCGUGGGGAGCGAACGGG